AUGGCCUGGGACUCAGGCUCGGACUCAGAGCCAGAGGAGUCUCAGUCCGUACCGGACCCUUUGCCUCAGGCGGAAUCUGAAUCUAGUCUGGGGCCUGAUUCUGAAGAGUCCCAGUCUGCAGAGGUUCCCCUGCAACAAACACCAGCUGGGCCGAGUCAGGGGCCUAAGCCUGCCCUGGCUCCAGAUGUGGGGAUUACCUCGUUGCCUUCAGCAGGGCCAUCGCUUACAGCUGCUCCACUACCAGUUGGGCCAGGAGAGGCUGAGGCAGCCUCUGGGUCUAGUAACCCACCGACGUCUCCUGAGCUGCAGAGACUAAGGUCUGAGAGAAGGAGAGACCUGAGUACUCGCAGGAGGAGUGCUCAUCUUUGGGCGAGACAGGGAGUCCCUCCUGCCCCGUAGAAAGUUGCUCCUGAAAACAAGAUGAUGCUCAGAAUUGACCUCCAAUGGAGAACAAGGAGCUGCGACUGGGACAGCAGCAGCAACAACAACAACAUGAAGAGAAGGCCUGGGCCUAGCACAUGCAGUUGGGUUUGUAGGCAUGGCUAAGUCUCCUGGAUUACAGUGAAAUGGCAUAAGUCAUGAGACCUGUUCACCCCACUGUGGUGUUUUGGAGAGUUCUUUCCAUGGAGGAGCAAAGGCAGAAAUGCAAAGAUAAGGAUUCCAGCUUGAAUGAGAAGGACGGAGGAAACUAAGGAACCCUGUCUGCUCAUGUGGCUAUAAAUGGCAUUUCCAGGCUUAUGCUGCUGAAGAGGAUAAGUACAGGAACUCUAUUCAGUGUGGAUUAUGUUGUUACCUGCUGGAUCUGUGUCACCAAUUCUCACUUUGGCAGUUGGGUUGCUAUACGGCCCUACACCACUUUUGCUGACGCAGGCAAACCGGAAGGAUAACACCAAACCCCGAGGGAGAUGCUCAGCAGUGUAGCAGCACUCUGAGAUGUCACUGGCCAGAGUCUUCCAUUCACCAUCUGGGCCAACAAAAGAGAAGAAUAAAGUUUAGUAUUUAAAUACAGCGGGCUGCAUGUAACAGUGUCAUAUUUUGACCAGAUGGGCUUGGAUUAGGAUGCACAGGGAGGGAGAUUUCCAGCUAUUGCAGAAAUGAAUAUUCUGUCUUCUAUCACUUUAGACAGG
rnacentral:lncRNA from 1 species